AGCUCUGGUGGCUUAGUGGUUAGAGCGUUCGCGUCGGAUGAGGGAGUUCGCGGGUUCGAAUCCCGGCCGAGUCA